GCAGAAGUACUCAAGUGGUUGAAGAGACACCCCUGGAAAGGGUGCAGGUCGUUAAUAGCGGCGCGAGGGUUCAAAUCCCUCCUUCUGCG
rfam:Butyrivibrio hungatei strain MB2003 chromosome I, complete sequence.